GCAGAACUCAGGGAGCACAAGAGGACCCGGAAAAGACACAGGAAGGCAAGAUGACAACAGGAGCGACGCGAGGACGAGAAGUGAGCACAUGGACCAACAAAGAAUCUCCCAGCAGGAGGUUAUGAUGCAGCAUACUGGGCUCUGAUCACAGUCACACCAGCAGAUCCGCCCUGCUGACAGCAACCACAGCCAGAAGCUAAACAUGAUCAGUGUGGAGCAAGUUACUUCUAAAAGAAAUGAUCCAAACUGUGUUUGUCUACAGAAAGUGCAGCGCUUGCAGAACAGGAACAACUGGCAGUCGGGGACCUCCAAGAAGAAACUCAUUCACAAUGUCCAACAAACCAGAAGCCUGAGCAAACACUUCCUGCUCUGAAUGUGAAUCGGUUUCUGUCACUGUGGCACAAUCAGUGUUUACUCAGACCCAGAACCAAAAGUGAUGAACUCAGUAUUUCACGAUGAAAGUUACAGUGAUGCUCUUUCAUGUACUUAUGAAUUGUGGCAGAUAUUACUGUGUUAGACAAGAACAAACUGUGUCUUUUAGUUUUAUUGUCCUGUUACAAACUGUGAGGUGACAGGAUGAGUAUCUAACAUGAAGCGUGUUGCUGAUGUAUCUGCUGAUCUGCCUCAUGCUGGUGAUGAUCUCACUGCUUCAACACAGCAGACUGUAAAUCUCUGCUCACAGCAGAUUUAACAACAGAUGUCUGAUGGCCUGAGCUCAUAAGAGAUGGAGAGUGAACACUUCUUGUUUACUGACUGAAUGCUGCAUUAAACUAUUGAUCCUGUUUGUUUCUUUAUAUAACUGUAGUUUAACUGUACUGUUCAUCCCAACAAGGACUUUAUUAAGAGGGAGCCGGAACAAGAGUGUGACGUCCAAA